rnacentral:lncRNA from 1 species
UUCUUCUGAGGCUUUUUCUUUUCCUGUCAUCCUUUUGGCAAAUCGGCUUGUUACUAAGGCGUCAUCCUGCCUUAUAUACUUCUCCGCUCUCUGCAUCAGCUCGGCCAGGGAGGUCGGAGGCUUCCUGCUUAAGGAACCGAAGAACUCGGCAGAGGUCGUUCCCUUUUGCAUCGCUUCUACCGCCCUUCCUUCAUCGAGAUCG